GACGAACCGAGCGAACGUUGUUCGGAAUCACUGGGCUUAAAGGGCGCGUAGGCGGGCUAUCAAGUCCGGGGUGAAAUCCUCCAGCUUAACUGGAGAACUGCCUCGGAUACUGAUGGUCUCGAGGGAGAUAGGGGCAAGCGGAACUGUGGGUGGAGCGGUGAAAUGCGUUGAUAUCCAUAGGAGCUCCGGUGGCGAAGGCGGCUUGCUGGAUCUCAUCUGACGCUGAGGCGCGAAAGCCAGGGGAGCAAACGGG
rnacentral:rRNA from 1 species